rnacentral:rRNA from 1 species
CACGUAGGGCGCGAGCGUUGUCCGGAAUUAUUGGGCGUAAAGAGCUCGUAGGCGGCCUGUUGCGUCCGCUGUGAAAGCCCGGGGCUUAACCCCGGGUCGGCAGUGGAUACGGGCAGGCUAGAGGUAGGUAGGGGAGAAUGGAAUUCCCGGUGUAGCGGUGAAAUGCGCAGAUAUCGGGAGGAACAGCGGUGGCGAAGGCGGUUCUCUGGGCCUUACCUGACGCUGAGGAGCGAAAGCGUGGGGAGCGAACAGG